GACGAACGCUGGCGGCGUGCCUAAUACAUGCAAGUUGAGCGCUGAAGGUUGGUACUUGUACCAACUGGAUGAGCAGCGAACGGGUGAGUAACGCGUGGGGAAUCUGCCUUUGAGCGGGGGACAACCUUUGGAAACGAAUGCUAAUACCGCAUAAAAACUUUAAACACAAGUUUUAAGUUUGAAAGAUGCAAUUGCAUCACUCAAAGAUGAUCCCGCGUUGUAUUAGCUAGUUGGUGAGGUAAAGGCUCACCAAGGCGAUGAUACAUAGCCGACCUGAGAGGGUGAGUGGCCACAUUGGGACUGAGACACGGCCCAAACUCCCACAGGAGGCAGCAGUAGGGAAUCUUCGGCAAUGGACGAAAGUCAGACCGAGCAACGCCGAGUGAGGGAAGAAGGUUUUCGGAUCGUAAAACACUGUUGGUAGAGAAGAACGUUGGUGAGAGUGGAAAGCUCAUCAAGUGACGGUAACUACCCAGAAAGGGACGGCUAACUACGUG
rnacentral:rRNA from 1 species